UACGGGGGGGAGCAAGCGUUUGUCCGGAUUUAUUGGGCGUAAAGAGCUCGUAGGCGGCUCGUCGCGUCGACCGUGAAAACAGGCAGCUCAACUGUGUGCUUGCGGUCGAUACGGGCGGGCUAGAGUUCGGUAGGGGGAGACUGGAAUUCCUGGUGUAGCGGUGAAAUGCGCAGAUAUCAGGAGGAACACCGGUGGCGAAGGCGGGUCUCUGGGCCGAUACUGACGUGAGGAGCGAAAAGCGU
rnacentral:rRNA from 1 species